AUUGAACGCUGGCGGCAGGCCUAACACAUGCAAGUCGAACGAGGGGCGGACGGGUGAGUAAUGUGUGGGGAUCUGCCCGGGAGAGGGGGAUAACUACGGAAAACGGUGGCUAAUACCGCAUACUCGCAGAUGAACACAUAUGGGAUUAGCUAGUGGGUGGGGUAACGGCUCACCUAGGCGACGAUCCCUAGCUGGUCUGAGAGGAUGACCAGCCACACUGGGACUGAGACACGGUCCAGACUCCUACGGGAGGCAGCAGUGGGGAAUAUUGCACAAUGGGCGCAAGCCUGAUGCAGCCAUGCCGCGUGUAUGAAGAAGGCCUUCGGGUUGUAAAGUACUUUCAGCGGGGAGGCGUUACCCGCAGAAGAAGCACCGGCUAACUCCGUGCCAGCAGCCGCGGUAAUAC
rnacentral:rRNA from 1 species